GAACAACGCUGGCGGCGUGCCUAACGCAUGCAAGUCGAGCGGGCACACCCUUCGGGGUGUGUCAGCGGCGGACGGGUGAGGAACACGUGGGCAACCUGCCCCGAAGUGGGGGACAACCCCGGGAAACCGGGGCUGAUACCGCAUACGUUCACCCCCUCGUCGGGGGGAGAGCAAGGCCGCAAGGCGCUUCGGGAGGGGCCUGCGCCCGAUUAGCUUGUUGGCGGGGUAAUGGCCCACCAAGGCGACGAUCGGUAGCUGGUCUGAGAGGACGACCAGCCACACUGGGACUGAGACACGGCCCAGACUCCUACGGGAGGCAGCAGUGGGGAAUUUUGGACAAUGGGCGCAAGCCUGAUCCAGCAAUGCCGCGUGCAGGAAGAAGGCCUUCGGGUUGUAAACUGCUUUUGUACGGAACGAAACGGUCCUGGUUAAUACCCGGGGCUAAUGGCGGUACCGUAAGAAUAAGCACCGGCUAACUACGUGCCAGCAGCCGCCGUAAUAC
rnacentral:rRNA from 1 species